rnacentral:rRNA from 1 species
UACGAAGGGGGCUAGCGUUGCUCGGAAUCACUGGGCGUAAAGGGUGCGUAGGCGGGUCUUUAAGUCAGGGGUGAAAUCCUGGAGCUCAACUCCAGAACUGCCUUUGAUACUGAGGAUCUUGAGUUCGGGAGAGGUGAGUGGAACUGCGAGUGUAGAGGUGAAAUUCGUAGAUAUUCGCAAGAACACCAGUGGCGAAGGCGGCUCACUGGCCCGAUACUGACGCUGAGGAGCGAAAGCGUGGGGAGCGAUCCGG